UGAGUUGCUGUCUAUUUCAAGUUUGUUGGAGCUUGAAGGUGAUAGUGAGGCGAUUGAGGAUUAUUUAGGUGAGAACGCUCCGACGCUGACUACUGCGAAUUUGAAAGCUUUUGUGAAUAAACAAAUGAAAAGUGAGAAAGAGGCGUCUUGGACGAACAUGGAGGGUGCUCAAUCUGUGGUUCACCGAGGUGCAGGGAAGAAGAGGAAAAUUGCUUAGCUUCAAUGACUAAGGUCGUUGAUUUGACUGUUGGAAAGGAUGGUGGUGGUGCUUUCUCGAUGGAGGAGAUUCAUGGUGCUCAUGAGAGCCAAACGGUACUUAUGGAUGUGGAGUAAGAGCACUCCUUUCAAUGCUAUUGCGGAUGAGGUUGCUCAAACUGAAACUGAUGUAUAAAUGAUUGGUGAGGCUGGUUUCAGUUUAUAUAAUUCAUUCUUUGUUAAUUUAAUGUAGCAAGCAAGCAAGUGCAUCUUGGUACUCUUAAAUGGCUAAUACUUUUAGUUGUAUUAUAGUAGUGAAUAGUAGGGAUGAUAAUAAUAUACUCACCCAUGUGCAAUGGGAUUUCUAUAAAUCUAGUGAUAUCAUCAUCAUAUUUUUGCAAAA